CGCCCGCCGGAGCGCAGCAUCGCCUCCGGCCAGGAGUGUGCAUGCGUGGGACUGUCUUCUUGGACCUGGACAGGGUGGAACAGAGGAGGAAGGACAUCUCAGGUGGUCUUUACAGACCACUGCAGGCACCCACCCACUGCUGCCUACCACCCAGCAGCGUGGCACAGUGGCAGAGACACAGCCUGAAGACACAUCACCUUGGUCCAAAUCCUGGAGUGGCCACUUGCUGGACAAGUGUCUGCAGGAAGGUUUUUUAACCUCUCAGUACCUCGGUUUCCUCCUUUAUAAACUGGAGAUGAAUUUAUAAACUGGAGCUGGGUGUGGUAACAAGCUCCUGUAGUCCCAGCUACUCAGGAGACUGUGGAUCGUUUUGAGCCCAGGAGUUUGAGGCUGCAGUGAGUUGUGACUGUGCCACUGCACUCCAGCCUGGGCAACAGAGCAAGACCCUAUCUCUAAAGAAAUAAAAAUAAAUCUAUAAUGGGAA
ensembl:lncRNA novel transcript, antisense to PDGFB